AGUGAACGCUGGCGGUAGGCCUAACACAUGCAAGUCGAACGGCAGCACAGAGGAGCUUGCUCCUUGGGUGGCGAGUGGCGGACGGGUGAGGAAUACAUCGGAAUCUACUCUGUCGUGGGGGAUAACGUAGGGAAACUUACGCUAAUACCGCAUACGACCUACGGGUGAAAGCAGGGGAUCUUCGGACCUUGCGCGAUUGAAUGAGCCGAUGUCGGAUUAGCUAGUUGGCGGGGUAAAGGCCCACCAAGGCGACGAUCCGUAGCUGGUCUGAGAGGAUGAUCAGCCACACUGGAACUGAGACACGGUCCAGACUCCUACGGGAGGCAGCAGUGGGGAAUAUUGGACAAUGGGCGCAAGCCUGAUCCAGCCAUACCGCGUGGGUGAAGAAGGCCUUCGGGUUGUAAAGCCCUUUUGUUGGGAAAGAAAUCCAUCUGGUUAAUACCCGGAUGGGAUGACGGUACCCAAAGAAUAAGCACCGGCUAACUACGUGCCAGCCGCCGCAGUAAAAC
rnacentral:rRNA from 1 species